GGCGAGCGGAGGCGGCGCGCGGGCCAGGCCGGCGGUUGGCGAGGGCGCCGCCGAGGAUGGGCCGGUCCCGGAGCCGGAGCUCGUCCCGCUCCAAGCACGCCAAGAGCAGCAAGCACAACAAGAAGCGCAGCCGCUCCCGCUCGCGGUCGCGGGACAAGGAGCGCGUGCGGAAGCGCUCCAAGUCCCGGGAGAGCAAGCGCACCCGGCGGCGGGAGUCGCGCUCGCGCUCGCGCUCGGCCACCACGGCCGCGUCCCGGCGCGAGCGGGAGCGGGAGCGGGAGCGGGAGCGCGCCUCGUCCCCGCCCGACCGCAUCGACAUCUUCGGGCGCACGGUGAGCAAGCGCAGCAGCCUGGACGAGAAGCAGAAGCGCGAGGAGGAGGAGAAGAAGGCCGAGUUCGAGCGGCAGCGGAAAAUCCGGCAGCAGGAAAUAGAAGAAAAACUCAUCGAGGAAGAAACAGCUAGAAGAGUAGAAGAAUUGGUGGCGAAAAGGGUAGAGGAAGAAUUGGAAAAACGGAAAGAUGAGAUUGAGCGAGAAGUCCUCCGAAGGGUGGAGGAAGCCAAGCGCAUCAUGGAAAAGCAGUUGCUCGAAGAGCUCGAGCGACAGAGACAAGCUGAACUAGCAGCACAGAGAGCCAGAGAGGUAACGCUCGGUCGUUGGGACAGUAGAGACAGUCCAUGGCAAAACUUUCAGUGUUGGGUGUGCCUCUUGCUCAGUUCAGAAAGAGAUGGAAUACAGACUAUCUAAUUCCUUUCUCAUCUAAACUUACAUUGCUGCAAAGAAAGUUAAUUUUUUAGCCUAUUCAGUAGUGCUGACUGAUACAUAAAAGUUACUUUUUAUAAAACUUAAGGAAACUCAUCGAUUUCAAUGGAACUGGCCUACAUAUUUGAGAAGUGUUUGAAACUUUUGCCAUGGCUGCAGGACUUACAUUUUUUGGGAGAGUGGGGGGAGACAGGGAGUGGUAAAGGGGAAAGGUUUACAAACAAAUCCACCUAUGACUGUUUGUCACUCUUACCUAGACUGUGAGAGGCUUUUUGCCUGCAGUCAGAUGAAAAAGAACAGGGCCAAACAUUGAGUGACAGCACCUGCUUUUGAUGAAUAGGUUUUCUCACUCUUCUUUCUUCUUCUUUUAUCUCUCACCCCUCCCUAAAUCCUCCGACACAGUGGACUAAUUCUAGCAAUCUGAUCAUAAGGCCCUCCAUUUUCCUAAUGUGUUUCAAAGAAUCUUUUUUUAGGAAAAAAUGUCCAGAUUAUUCAUCCACUUUUUUAGUGUCUACUAACAACUCCUUUUUUUCUCUAGAGAGUUAUGAAGGAACAGGUUGUCCUUGUCUGGAGUCAAGCUAAACACAUGAUUUGUUUUAUCAGCAGCUGGAGCAGAAGUUGAAAAUGUCUUUCUGUGAGACAGUAAUUUGCUACUGAAGCUUUAUGGCUUGUUUGCACUGAUUACUCCAGGAUCCUAUCACUUGGUGAAAGUUACUGAAACACUCAAGGCAAAUUACUGACCGCACUAAGUGCCCAUCAACAUAGUUUGCGUAAUGAAUGUGAUUAUCCUUGGUGUGGCUAUAGAAAGUCCUGCAGUUCUGUUUCUUUUAUCUAAAAUGUUUGACUUAAAGCAGCACAUGGCUCAUUGUCACUUCUCAUCCUGACAUUCCUGUGGACAAGCUGACAUUGUACUAAAUCUCUGCUUUCUAGUAAACUUCGCUUGUAAAAUGCAUCUUCCCUUGUCCUGACUUUAACUAGGUAGACAUGCCUAUAUUUAUAGUUGAUUUCACAGACACUAUAAAGUUGAAUAUAUAUCUAUAUAUUUUAUAUCAGUGCUUUUAAUAAUGAAGAUAUUUUUGGAGUAACUGUGCUAUCUUGUAGCGAGUUAUUAAUCAUAGUAAGAUUUUUUUCUCUUCAUUUACUUUUUGUUUCAUAUUAACAUUUUUGGUUUUUACACGGACACAAUCCUCUUGACAGUCUUUCCAAAUAUUAAAAUCAUUUGACUCUGUAUGCUGUGAUCCGAACACUGCCCAAACCAUCAAGCAAUCUUCAUAUAGUUUUGCAUUAUAAAAUUUCAUUAAAUUCUCCAAGAAAAAAAGAGAUGACAGAAUUUUAUUUCCUGACUGUGCAUCCCCUGGAUUCCUGAAUUUCAGUUCAGACUGUAGAUGACAAUACAAGCUGCCUUUAGAAAUUGUCAACAUCUGAAUGUUAAGUCCAUUUGCCCCAUGGAAGAAGCCCUUAGUUCCAUGAAGUAUGGAUUACCAUUUGUAUUUUUCACUAACAGUAAAUGUAUUUUUCUUAUUAAUUGUUUGCCUUAGGAAUGAUGAAUUACAUUUUUUGUUCCUUCUUACCAUAAACAUCUGCAUUCCUCAGCUCAGCCUUCCUUGUAUGUUGUUUCUUUAUAAAUGGUUGAGCUGCUGAUGCAGGUAUGCCAAGCUAACAGUACAAAUCAUUUUAAAGAGGAAGCUGGCGCGUAUGGCAGCCGAGGAGCACACUCUGCAGGACACUGGACAAGACAGAGGAAGAACGGGCAAAGCGUGAGGAGCUGGAACGAAUACUAGAAGAGAAUAAC